UCUCCUGCAGAUAUAGACGAGUGUGCGAGUGUCGGGGCGUGCGAGGCAGAGCGUGUGUGUGUGAACACGGUCGGCUCCUUCAGGUGUGACUGUCGGCCCGGGUAUCGAACCACCGGCCUGGGGAGACAGUGCAGAGACAUUAACGAGUGUUUGGAGGGAGAUUUCUGUUUCCCCAGAGGAGAGUGUAUGAACACAGUGGGAUCCUACACAUGUGUGUGUUCUCAGGGAUUUACACUGAGCGACAACAGGACCGCCUGCCUCGACAGACGUGACUGUCGAUGGAAACAGACCUCAUGUUGUUCACAGCUCAGGUCUCCUCUGGUCCUGCUUAUACAGCUGAUGUAAUGGUGAUGUCAUCUUUGGCCCGUCCUCAUGACGACGACAUAUGUAUGUGUG